AACGGUCUAUACCUGCGGUACCUGCGGAAGGAUCAUCAAAAAAGAGAAGGGGAGGGUGUGAAAGUUUUCUUUCACCCCUCUCUCUCUUUUUUAUUAAUUUUUUCUUUCUUUCUCCCUUUUUAUUAUAUACUCCUUCCUAGGAGUUGUAAUUAGAGGAAAAGGGGGUGAAGAAAGAAACUUGUCGACUUCUUGUUGUCCCCCUUUUUUUUAGGAGAGUUUCUUUUAAAAAAGGGGGUAAAC
rnacentral:misc_RNA from 1 species